UGGUCCAAGCUACUACGGGCGCGCGGUGGAUGCCUAGGCACUGGAAGCCGAAGAAGGACGUGGCGAGACUGCGAUAAGCCUCGGUUAGCUGUCUAGCAAGCUCAGCCGGGGAUCUCCGAAUGGGGCAACCCGCCUCGAUGAAUAAUCGGGGCACCCGCCUUUGGCGGGAGGGAACCGGGGGAACUGAAACAUCUAAGUACCCCGAGGAAAAGAGACUAUUCCCUUAGUAGCGGCGAGCGAACGGGGAACAGCUCAAACCGUCAGGGAAGGUAUCGGCUCACGGGCCAAUGCCCUGGCGGGGUUGUAAGACACAGGUGGGCCAAGCCGUGAUGCGGCCGGGAAGUUACCAAGCCCUGCUCUAGCAGAAGGACCCUGGAAAGGGCCGCCGUGGAGAGUGAAAGCCUCGUAUGCGAAGGGGCAAGGGCCUUCCUGAUCUGUGUUCUUGAGUACCACGGGACACGGGGAAUCCCGUGGGAAGCCGGGGGGACCACCCUCCAAAGCUAAACACUUCCAGCGACCGAUAGUGCAGAAGUACCGUGAGGGAAAGGUGAAAAAGCACCCCGGGAGGGGAGUCAAANNCGAUUCGUCGGGGUGACGGCGUGCCUAUUGAAGAAUGAGCCGGCGAGUGAAUCUCAGUGGCGCGGUUAAGCAAGGAGACUUGCGGAGCCGCAGCGAAAGCGAGUCCGAACAGGGCGCCUCCUUCGGGAACGUCGCUGGGAUUCGGCCCGAAACCUGGUGAGCUACCCAUGGCCAGGGUGAAGCCUCGAUAAUAUCGAGGUGGAGGCCCGAACCAUUUGACGGUGCAAAGUCACUGGAUGAGCUGUGGGUAGGAGUGAAAUGCCAACCGAACCAGGAGAUAGCUGGUUCUCCCCGAAAUGCAUUGAGGUGCAGCCUCAGCACCAGUCUCUUGGAGGUAGGGCACUGGAUGGGCUAGGGGGCACAACGCUUACCAAACCCAACCAAACCACGAAUGCCAAGAGAUAGGCCUGGGAGUGAGCCCGUGGGGGAUAAACUUCACGGACAAAAGGGGAACAACCCAGACCACCGGCUAAGGUCCCUAAGUGUGGGCUAAGUGGGAAAGGAUGUAGGACAGCCCAGACAGCCAGGAGGUUGGCUCAGAAGCAGCCAUCCUUCAAAGAGUGCGUAACAGCUCACUGGUCGAUGCCGUCCUGCGCCGAAAAUGUAACGGGGCUCAAGCCCACCACCGAAGCCGUGGUUCCCGCCUAAGGCGGGAAGGUAGGGGAGCGUUCCGUUCAGCGGUGAAGCCUGGCCGUGAGGCCCGGUGGAGCGGACGGAAGUGAGAAUGCCGGCACGAGUAGCAACAGGCGAGUGAGAAUCUCGCCCACCGAAUGCCUAAGGUUUCCUACGGAAGGAUCGUCCGCGUAGGGUUAGGCGGGCCUAAGGCUAAGGCGCA
rnacentral:rRNA from 3 species